rnacentral:rRNA from 1 species
UGUUGCAGUUAAAAAGCUCGUAGUUGGAUUUCGGAAUGGGCCAGUUGGUCCGCCUCACGGUGUGUUACUGGCUGGUCUGUUCUUCUUCGCAAAGACUGCGUGUGCUCUUUAUUGAGUGGGCGUAGGAUUUACGACGUUUACUUUGAAAAAAUUAGAGUGUUCAAAGCAGGCCUACCGCUUGAAUACAUGAGCAUGGAAUAAUGGAAUAGGACUUUGGUCUUAUUUUGUUGGUUUCUGAGACCGAAGUAAUGAUUAAGGGGGACAGUUGGGGGCAUUCGUAUUUCGUUGUCAGAGGUGAAAUUCUUGGAUUUACGAAAGACGAACAACUGCGAAAGCAUUUGCCAAGAAUGUUUUCAUUAAUCAAGAACGA